rnacentral:rRNA from 1 species
AUUGAACGCUGGCGGCAUGCUUUACACAUGCAAGUCGAACGGUAACGCGUGGCAACCUGGCGACGAGUGGCGAACGGGUGAGUAAUGCAUCGGAACGUGCCCGGUAGUGGGGGAUAACUGCACGAAAGAGCAGCUAAUACCGUAUACGACCUGAGGGUGAACGGGGGGGAUCGCAAGACCGCUAGCUAUUGGACCGGCGGGUGUCGGAUUAGCUAGUUCGUGGGGUAAGGGCCCACCAAGGCGACGAUCCGUAGCUGGUCUGAGAGGACGACCAGCCACACUGGGACUGAGACACGGCCCAGACGCAUACGGGAGGCAGCAGUGGGGAAUUUUGGACAAUGGACGCAAGUCUGAUCCAGCCAUGCCGCGUGCGGGAAGAAGGCCUUCGGGUUGUAAACCGCUUUUGUCGGAGAAGAAAUCUUCUGGGUUAAUACCUCGGGAGGAUGACGGUAUCUGAAGAAUAAGCACCGGCUAACUACGUGCCAGCCGCCGCGGUAACAC